rnacentral:lncRNA from 1 species
UCGAUGAUGGCGUUGUAGGAGGCGUUUACCGAGCCGAAGUAGUACUGGGUCUGUUUCAUGACGCAGCUGCUCUCGCGCGUCUCGGGGCUCCCCUCGGCCUCCGCGGGGUCUGCGAGGGCCCAGAGCGCCUCAGCUCCGCCCACAGACCCUGGCAAGGUCUCCGGCCUCCCUCAGUCGUAGACCCCACCCUCCCCAUGGAGUCGUCUUAGCUCAGAUUGGGGACCCGGACUUGAGGAGGCGCCUCCAAAGCCCUACCUACCUGCUUGGAACCAGCUGUGGUAGAUGAGGCCGUAGAGAAGCUGCUGGAACAGGGACCUGCAGCGCACGGGGAGCCGAGUGCAGGUGGUCAGCAGAGGACGAUGCCAUGCCCUACUUCUCUUCUGAGCCCUCCCGGCCAGGGAGCACCUUCUCUACCCACCUCCCGCUCAGGACUCACCAGGCGGCAGCAGAGGUCCACCAGGCCAGGUUAAGGAAAUCUGCAACGGUGGGCUGCAGUGGAGAGAGGGGCGUGGACUGCCACUGCUGCCCCUCGCCCUAGGUCACCCCCAGCUUUAUCAAAUGUCAGAGCACCAGGAAUCCUCCAUCAUCAAUGAGGACACAGAGCUGGGUGAUGCCUACGUGUUGAGAUCCUGGUCCCUCCACACACGCUCUACCAGCUGCUGCGUGAUGCCCGUGUCCAAGAUCAGGUUGUGCAGAAGGAAGUUGUUGCCUGGAACAGGAGGGGAGGGGUGGGGGUGGGGGCAUCUUCUUGCAGCUCCUUGCCCACCCUCACCCCCACCCUUAAGGCUCCACCAGGAGCCUCCUCCAUGACCUGGCCCUGGCCCAGGCCCAGCCCUUAGCUUGUGCCUGCUUAUUUCCACACCUGCCCGGCCUCUGGGUUCCUCUGGGCUGGCCCCAUGCUGCCUGGGCACUGCCCAGAGCCAGCUGCCCUGCCAGGCACUCACACUGCUUGGAGUCUGGAGUCACUUUCUCCAUGAGCUCAAUAAAGUUUUUCAGGAACUCGG